rnacentral:rRNA from 1 species
UUAAGCAUAUCAAUAAGCGGAGGAAAAGAAACUAACAAGGAUUCCCCUAGUAACGGCGAGUGAAGUGGGAAGAGCUCAACUUUGUAAUCUGGCUGCUUCGCAGUCCGAGUUGUAGUCUAAAGAAGCAUGAUCCGCGCCGGACCUUGGGCAUGUCUGUUGGAAAGCAGUGUCAAAGAGGGUGAUAAUCCCGUACAUACCAAGGACGACCGUGUGCAUUGUGGUCUGCUCUCUAAGAGUCGAGUUGUUUGGGAAUGCAGCUCUAAUUGGGUGGUAAAUUCCAUCUAAAGCUAAAUAUCGACGAGAGACCGAUAGCGAACAAGUACAGUAAUGGAAAGAUGAAAAGUAGCCUGCAGAGGCAAUGAAACAAUACGUGAAACCGUUUGUAGGGAAGCGAUGGAACCUUUUCACGCUGCGAGGGUUCAGCCUUUCUUCGGAUUGGUGUAUUCCCUCGUUUUGCGGACCAGCAUCAGUUUGCUUGGCAGUAUAAGGGUGUUUGGAACGUGGCUCCCACGGGAGUGUUAUAGCCUUUCACUGGAUGCUGCCUCGCAGACUGAGGACUGCAGUGCGCCAUUAUGGCAUAGUCUUCGGGCUACGAGCACUUAGGAUGCUGGGCGAAUGGGUUUCAACGACCCGUUG